rnacentral:lncRNA from 1 species
GACUGUAAGCAGUCGACCAAGGUCACUACCAAGGGCAGGUAUUUCCCAUGCAGGAUGAAUGAUCUAUUGGGACAGCUAGUAGGAGCUGUUUGUUUUCCAAGAUAGACCUGAAAUCCGGGUACUACCUGUGAGAGUUAGAGUUAGUUUUGGGUCAGAAGUGAGAAGAAGCCAGUUAGUGAAGAUGGAGAGAAAGAGUAAGGAUCAGAGUAG